rnacentral:rRNA from 1 species
GAUGAACGCUAGCGGCAGGCUUAAUACAUGCAAGUCAAGGGGGUAGCAAUGCAACCGGCGCACGGGUGAGUAACGCGUACACAACAUACCAUAUACUGGAGUAUAGCUUUGGGAAACUGAAGGUAAUCCUCCAUAACAUUGCGAGAGGGCAUCUGAUUGCAAUUAAAGUUUCGGCGGUAUAUGAUUGGUGUGCGUUUGAUUAGCUAGUUGGUAGGGUAACGGCCUACCAAGGCGACGAUCAAUAGCUGGCGUGAGAGCGCGACCAGCCACACUGGAACUGAGACACGGUCCAGACUCCUACGGGAGGCAGCAGUAGGGAAUAUUGGACAAUGGAGGAAACUCUGAUCCAGCCAUGCCGCGUGAUAGAUGAAGGCCCUCUGGGUUGUAAAUAUCUUUUUAUCUGGGAAGAAACACUCCUAUUCUUAGGGACUUGACGGUACCAGAGGAAUAAGCACCGGCUAACUCCGUGCCAGCAGCCGCGGU